rnacentral:rRNA from 1 species
UACGAAGGGGGCUAGCGUUGCUCGGAAUCACUGGGCGUAAAGGGUGCGUAGGCGGGUCUUUAAGUCAGGGGUGAAAUCCUGGAGCUCAACUCCAGAACUGCCUUUGAUACUGAAGAUCUUGAAUCCGGGAGAGGGAUGUGGAAUUCCAGGUGUAGCGGUGAAAUGCGUAGAUAUCUGGAGGAACACCGGUGGCGAAGGCGACAUCCUGGACCGGUAUUGACGCUGAGGCGCGAAAGCCAGGGGAGCAAACGGG